UAGAACACUUUUUCUGCUUAAGGCUGGAAUAAUAAACAUCGUCUCAUUUCUAGUUAAAAGAUUAAGCCGGAAGAAUCCCGAUAGCAAUCUUUUUCUGCCCAGGUGAAGCGACGUGAAGAUUGAUCAUAGGGUGUCUUUUUUUUUUUCGUGACCGGCAUUAUAGAAAUGGUAUGGCUAUUCACAUACGCACAACUGAUUGUCCUCAUCGCGGCUGCCAUAGCAUAAGCAUUGUCAUAUAUUAGCGCUGUGCUGAAACACUCUAUUAGUAGGCUACCUUAUUUACUUCUUCAGGCGGGCAUGAAAUAUAAGCUGAGAUUAUAGUUCCGCGGUAAAACUGCUGCGUAGGUGAUUUCCCUAUUUUUCUUCUUCUCUGUAGCCUCAGAUAUGCAGUAAUGAAUGCGUUAUAUCCAGUCUAUUUGUGCUUUUCUUUGCGUUUCAGAUCAAGCGGUGAGGUGGUCACAUUAGAUGCAAUGGGCCACAGGCAGGAUUCUGCGCCGCUUUGCACCUUUGCUGGGCGUGAUCAACAACGUGGAACCCAUAGCGUCUUUGUUGCUGGUGCCUUCAGUGGCUACCUUCUACUGCACAAACGUUUCGGCAAGCUACCAUGGAAAGAGCUGUUUACUGGCGCCAUUUCACUCGCCAGUGAUGGCUUUCCUAUUGGGCGUCACUUAGAUGAGGCAAUCUUGAGGAAUAAAGCCGACUUGGUGCAUAAUCAGAACCGUGGUUUCCAGAUGGACGGGCAAUAUCUUUCGGCUGGUGAUAUGUUCGUGCAAGAGAAGCUGGCUACUUUUCUGCAGAAUAUCUCCAUUGACCCUAGCACUUUGCUGAACAAAGCGGACGCGAUGUAUGCUAAGAACUUGCAUUCCUUCGAGA